UUAUCCAGGUACACAGUUACAGUCAUUCACACAAACAUUUAUGAGUGUACAGGCAUCUGUACACUUGUACACACCGUAAUGCCUGAAUAGGGCUAAGAUGUGGUGAUGAUGACUGGUUUAGAUCCUUCUUAAAAGGAAUUGCAUAAAUGCAUGGAGGAUGGGUCCAUCAAUGGGUAUCAGGCAUGAUGACUAAGUUGAGCCACCAUGUUCAGAGGCAGUAUAGCUCUGAAUACCAGAUGCUGGAAUCAAAUAGCAGGAGAGGGCUGUUGCUGUGCUUGUGAGGCUCAGAGAUAUCUAGCUGGCCACUGCUGGAACUGAAUGCUGGACUAGAUGGAUAUAUCCUUUUCGGAGAGGUCUGACAUAGCUGCGGAUCUGCUGCUGCUGCUCGGAAAUUGAACUGGGUCAGAUACAAUAAAGGAAGGUAAGGGAACCCUGGGAGUCUGCAAAACUGAAGGGUCUGAAAGUUAAGACAUACAAAGUGCUUCUGAGGCCCACCUCGUCUAUUCUCAAACGGCUUUGUAUGCAUUUCUUUUCUUCUAACUCUUGGGCUAACUAUCCCCCAAAAGCAAGGGUCAGUUCAGCAAGGAGAAAUGUCCUGUUCUUUAUAUCCUGCAACUUCUUCUAGGAUGUUUCCCUUUCAGCUCCUGCCAUGGUUGGUCUCCUGCCUUUUUUCUUGUGCCUCCUUUCACUACUGGGAUUCAGCUCUUGUGCUGAAAAUGACACAGUAGUGGUUACCAGCAGCGGUCCUGUCCGUGGAAAACACCUCCCAGCAGGCUCUGGCACCGUCACAGCCUUUCUGGGCAUCCCCUACGCAGAGCCACCUGUGGGGAAAUUACGCUUCCAGAAGCCGAUUCCUCAUCAGCCAUGGAGCCAUACCUUAGAAGCCAUCAAUUUUGGCAAUUCCUGUCCCCAGAUAGUUCUUUCUGGCCAUCCUGAAACUGAGAAAUGGACCGCCAACACACCCUGCUCAGAGGACUGUCUUUUCCUCAAUGUCUGGGUGCCACAUCCCCAUCCCACCACACCAGCUGCUGUCCUUGUUUGGAUAUAUGGAGGGGGGUUCCUCACUGGCACAGCCUCUUUAGUUAUGUAUAAUGGUGCAUUUUUUGCUGCCACAGAAAAUGUCAUUGUAGUCUCCAUGAAUUAUCGCCUGGGAGCUCUAGGCUUCCUUUCAUUGCCCCCAGCUGCCCCAGGAAACAUGGGCCUGUUGGACCAACAGUUGGCUUUGAGGUGGGUGAGGGAGAAUGCAGCUGCCUUCGGAGGAGAUCCUACUCGGGUGACCAUUUUUGGCGAGAGUGCCGGAGGAGGAUCCGUCGGCUUCCACCUCCUUUCACCAGGGAGCCAGCCUCUCUUUGACCGUGCUGUGCUGCAGAGUGGAACUGCCAAUGCACCCUGGGCUUGGGUGAACCCAGAGGAGGCCAAGAGGAGGGCCCGGACUCUAGCUCGGCUGAUGGGCUGUGCUGAACAUGAGGACAGAGCCAUAGUGAGUUGCCUGCAGGGAAAGGAAAUGGAAGAGUUUGCAAAUCAUCAGUUCUCUGUUGUGGAUCCCAGGAUAAUUCUGAAUCUGCCCUUCAUACCAACCACAGAUGGAGACUUUCUCUUGGAUGAACCACAGAAGCUUCUGGAAUCUGGACAUUUUCAAAGGAAACCUAUCAUGAUUGGUGCCACGUCCGAUGAGGGGUCAGUCUUGGUCUUAUAUGGAGGUCUUUUCUUGCACACAUCCAAUCACCACCUUUUGACCUGGGAGCAGCUGUUGGAAGGGCUAAAGUUGACUGUGAGCAAUGCAACGGAUGACUUCAUCAAAACCAUAGCCCUGAGGUACAGCCAAGUGGAACCUGAGGGCCCAGCACGGUACCGUUCGGCCAUGUCCCAAGCCUGUGGGGAUUACUUUUUCGUGUGCCCCUUGACUGAAGUUGCCACGGUAAUGACAGAGGCCAGGAGCCCUGUGUACGUUUAUACUUUCACCCAUCAUAGUGCUGGUUCACUUUGGCCUGAAUGGAUGGGGUCAGGCCAUGGAUGUGAAAUCCCAUACAUUUUUGGAACUUUGACCUUAAUAAAGGGAACCAAGGAAAAUCACACAGAGGCGGAGUUGGAACUGAUUCCCCGAGUGAUGCGGUACUGGGCAGAAUUUGCCAGAAGUGGCGAUCCCACUGCUUCCUUUGACAGCAAAACAAAAUGGCCCCUGUACAAUACCACAGAACAGAACUACUUCCGUAUCAGCACAGAGCCGCCCCAAGUGAAGAAACCGUCACCUGCUCGAAUGUGCAGUCUCUGGAAGACACUUUUGUCAGAGGACUCAAAGCCAAGUGAGUUAAAGGUCUGAAAGUGGGGAGGACAAAGCCUAAAGCCAUUCCCUCAGAGAAAACCCAGGUCGGCUCUGCCCGUUCCAGCAUGGAAGGUAGAAGGAAGCAAGAACUGUGAAUCAAGUGAGAGGUGUUAUUCAGAGACACCAGUAGAGACAUUCCCAAACAUCUUUUGGGAAGCUGGAAGGAGAAGCAGGAGGAGAAUCCUCAGCACAGAAUUGUAAAGAGUCAUUUCCCAGACAGUAUCUUCGGCAGACCAAUAAAGAGCUGCCUGAAAACCACAAUUAUUUCUUCAUUGGCCCUUAACCCUUCCAGCUUAAAACCAAGAGUAUGGAAUCCAUGGAUAGUGGAAAACCUAUGUAAACCGUCCAGAGACAUAAGUUUUGGGCAGUAUAAAAUAUGUAAAAUAAAUAAAUAAAUAGUGCUGGACUGAAA